UGGCUCAGAGGUUAAGAGCACUGGCUGUUCUUCCAGAGGUCCUGAGUUCAAUUCUCAG
rfam:Neotoma lepida isolate 417 scaffold_570, whole genome shotgun sequence.